AGACAUUGCAUUAAACAAUAAACUUUUUUUCUUAUAUGGGCCCAAAAAACUGUACGAGUACACAAAUGGCUCCAAAAUCCUGAAACUGCAUAGGCAGACACAAUUCUAAACAUAGAGCGAGAGACAGAGAGAUCGAGUUCUUUGUAGAGCUUGUUAUUCUUGCUAUCAUCCAAGGGUUCGUGAGAAGCUCGAAUAAUUGACCUUGAACUGAACGCCCUAAAUACAGAAGCUUUAGCAACUGGAGGUUUCCAUUUAGGUUGGC
rnacentral:lncRNA from 1 species